rnacentral:rRNA from 1 species
GACGAACGCUGGCGGCGCGCCUAACACAUGCAAGUCGAACGGAGCUGCGAGAAGCUUGCUUUUCUUAGCUUAGUGGCGAACGGGUGAGUAACGCGUGAGUAACCUGCCCUGGAGUGGGGGACAACAGUUGGAAACGGCUGCUAAUACCGCAUAAGCCCACGAUCCGGCAUCGGAUUGAGGGAAAAGGAUUUAUUCGCUUCAGGAUGGACUCGCGUCCAAUUAGCUAGUUGGUGAGGUAACGGCCCACCAAGGCGACGAUUGGUAGCCGGACUGAGAGGUUGAACGGCCACAUUGGGACUGAGACACGGCCCAGACUCCUACGGGAGGCAGCAGUGGGGGAUAUUGCACAAUGGGGGAAACCCUGAUGCAGCGACGCCGCGUGGAGGAAGAAGGUUUUCGGAUUGUAAACUCCUGUCGUUAGGGACGAUAAUGACGGUACCUAACAAGAAAGCACCGGCUAACUACGUG